ACACCUGGGAAGCCUUUUCCAUCCUGGCCAAUUGUGAUGCUGAUGCUAAAAUACCUUCAUUGCUUAAUCCCAUCACUGCCAAUUGCUUCAAAUAGUGGAUGGAAUGGGCUAAAAAAAAAAAAGGCAUUUUGGAAACCGCAUAGCUGACUCUCUUUUUCUUUUAUUCAGUGAGAAAAUGAUGAAAACCACAGCCAACAGGAACCACACAGAUAGUGCAGGAACGCCCCACGUGUCUGGUGGGAAGAUGCUCAGUGCUCUGGAGUCCACGGUGCCUCCCAGCCAGCCUCCACUUGUGGGCACCUCGGCCAUCCACAUGAGCCUGCUUGAGAUGAGGCGGAGCGUGGCGGAACUCAGGCUCCAGCUCCAGCAGAUGCGGCAGCUCCAGCUGCAGAACCAGGAGCUGCUGAGGGCGAUGAUGAAGAAGGCCGAGCUGGAAAUCAGUGGCAAAGUGAUGGAAACAAUGAAGAGACUGGA
rnacentral:sRNA from 1 species